UUGUAAUUCCUUCCUAUAUUGUUCAUUCAAGGUUUCCAACAUUUUCCUAUGCUCUUUUUAUCUAUCUUUUUUAUUUAGAUAUGCUCAGCAAUUUUUUCACUAUGUUUGUGAUUUCUUCUUUUACUGGAAAUAUUAUUUCUGUUUGAUUACUUUGCAGCCUCAUGAAGUUGUUUCUUUGCUUCAGUUACUCUUCUUUCAGAGAUCUCAGAAGAACAGCACAAAGUAUGUGUUUAAUGAAUAUCUUGGUGAAUAUAUAAAUGCAAUGGGAUACUAAGGAUGAAACAACUGAGUUUUCAUGGCAUGAUCUCAACCACAUGGAAGAAGGAAGAAAUGUGCCUGGCAAGCAAUCAGGCCAGCAUGUAAAAGGUGCUUUUGUUGCCUGUACAAAGAAGCUUCCAAAGCCCGGGAUUACUGGAGAGCAGACAUGUUCAAAUCAAGCUAUGAUGGUCUAAGCAAAACAACUCCAUCAAACAUCUCACUAGCCACUCUCUUGGGAACAUAGAGCUUUAGGCAAGGGAAAGGGAGACUAGACAUCUGUCCCCAACGGAAAAAUUAACCACAGACCUGGAGUGGCUCAGACAAAAGGACCAAGAGAAAAAAAAAAGCAGUAAUUGGAGAGAAGAUCCUGCUUCCAACCUGUCACUGGUUUUACAAGGUACAUCUAUUCCUGGAGGAAAGGGAGACAGCAGCGCAUAAUAAAAACUGGGACACGGUGAGGCUGUGCCAGGUGUGUCUCCUGCAGGACUCGGCUCUGAUGCCAGUCCUUCCAGGAAUACACUCUGCCCCCUGCUCCCUGCUUGCCCAGAGACUAAUCUGGAUCAAGUGACCGGCCUGAGACUGGUCAGCGUCCGGAGACGCCUCACUCAUUCACUCACUCACUGGUUCUGGAGCACCAAACAUGCCGCAAGUAAUGGGACAAAAAGUAAAUAAAGCAUAGUGCCACUUACUA